AGAGUUUGAUCAUGGCUCAGGACGAACGCUGGCGGCGUGCUUAACACAUGCAAGUCGAACGGUGAAAGAGGAGCUUGCUCCUCUGGAUCAGUGGCGAACGGGUGAGUAACACGUGAGUAACCUGCCCCCGACUCUGGGAUAACCUCGGGAAACCGAAGCUAAUACCGGAUACGACCCGCGAAGGCAUCUUCUGCGGGUGGAAAGAAUUUCGGUUGGGGAUGGACUCGCGGCCUAUCAGUUAGUUGGUGAGGUAACGGCCCACCAAGACGACGACGGGUAGCCGGCCUGAGAGGGUGACCGGCCACACUGGGACUGAGACACGGCCCAGACUCCUACGGGAGGCAGCAGUGGGGAAUAUUGCACAAUGGGCGCAAGCCUGAUGCAGCAACGCCGCGUGAGGGAUGACGGCCUUCGGGUUGUAAACCUCUUUUAGUAGGGAAGAAGCGAAAGUGACGGUACCUGCAGAAAAAGCACCGGCUAACUACGUGCCAGCCGCCGCGGUAAUAC
rnacentral:rRNA from 1 species